rnacentral:ncRNA from 1 species
CACACCAGACAGGGGAGCGCCCAGGCGCUGAGAGUGCGGAUCCGCCGCAGACCCUAUGAACCUGCCCCGGUUAGCACCGGCGAAGGGAGUCAC